AUGGUGAAGAUUAUGAUGGAGGAUAAUGGUGAUGCAGUUGAAUCUCUUACGACAAUUGAUGAAGAUUCGAGCGUAUCCAAGCGUGGAAGAGAGAAUCUUAGAGAACUGACGUGUGCACGGCUGGAUGUUGCAGAUGGCGCUGAUUAUGCAGUUUUGAACUAUGCAGAUGACAGAGCCUCGUUGAGAGCUACCUCUCGGCAUUAA